GCCCGGCUAGCUCAAUUGGUAGAGCACGAAACUCGGGAUCGUGGGUUCGAGCCCCACUUUGGGCG
rnacentral:tRNA from 1 species